CAACGCGAAGAACCUUACCCAGGCUUGACAUCCGGGGGACCCUCCUGAAACGGAGGGGUGCUCUUCGGAGAACCCCGAGACAGGUGCUGCAUGGCUGUCGUCAGCUCGUGCCGUGAGAUGUUGGGUUAAGUCCCGCAACGAGCGCAACCCCUGUUCACAGUUGCCAUCAGGUAAAGCUGGGCACUCUGUGGAGACUGCCCGGGUCAACCGGGAGGAAGGUGGGGACGACGUCAAGUCAUCAUGGCCCUUACGCCUGGGGCUACACACGUACUACAAUGGCGCGCACAAAGGGCAGCAAGACCGCGAGGUGGAGCCAAUCCCAAAAAACGCGUCUCAGUCCGGAUUGCAGUCUGCAACUCGACUGCAUGAAGUCGGAAUCGCUAGUAAUUCUGGAUCAGCAUGCCAGGGUGAAUGCGUUCCCGGGCCUUGUACACACCGCCCG
rnacentral:rRNA from 1 species